rnacentral:rRNA from 1 species
UACGAACCGUGCGAACGUUGUUCGGAAUCACUGGGCUUAAAGGGCGCGUAGGCGGGCUGUCAAGUCUGGGGUGAAAUGCUGCGGCUCAACCGUAGAACUGCCUUAGAUACUGACGGCCUCGAGGAAGGUAGGGGCAUGCGGAACUGUAGGUGGAGCGGUGAAAUGCGUUGAUAUCUACAGGAACUCCGGUGGCGAAAGCGGCGUGCUGGACCUUUUCUGACGCUGAGGCGCGAAAGCUAGGGGAGCAAACGGG